GCCAGCAGCUAGCUCUCUGCAACGCUCACAUAGUCACCCACUGAAGCAUACAGGGCUGCACCCAGUCUGUACCUGGAUGGGAGACCACAUGGGAAAGCUAGGUUGCUGCCGGAA
rnacentral:rRNA from 1 species